rnacentral:rRNA from 1 species
AUGAGUGUAGUUAGCCAGUAUAUGCAUGACCCAAAAUCAGCUCAUAUGGAAGCUGUAAACAGGAUCCUAAGGUAUCUUAAAGGGUGCCCAGGAAGAGGCCUUUUAUAUACCAGACAAGGAGACUUACAAGUUGAGUGCUAUACUGACGCUGAUUGGGCUGGUUCCCUAGAUGACCGACGCUCAACAUCUGGUUAUUAUGCAUUUGUAGGAGGAAACCUAGUUUCUUGGCGAAGUAAAAAGCAAGGUGUAGUGGCUCGAUCUACUGCAGAGGCUGAGUUUAGAUCUAUGGCUCACGGCAUAUGUGAGUUACUAUGGAUACAUAUCCUCCUAGCAGAGCUGCGGCUGUACAGGUGCAAGCCUCUGAUGUUGUACUGUGACAACAAAGCUGCCAUUGACAUUGCAAAUAACCCUGUUCAGCAUGAUCGAACCAAGCACAUAGAAAUUGAUCGUCAUUUUAUUAAGGAGAAGCUUGAUAGAGGGAUAGUUUGCCUACCGUAUGUAACCUCAGCUAGUCAGGUAGCAGAUGUCCUUACAAAAGGACUCCCCGAAAAAACAUUCUCCAUGUUUUGUAGCAAGAUCGGUUUGUAUGAUAUAUUUGCCCCAUCUUGA